rnacentral:rRNA from 1 species
UACGUAGGGUGCGAGCGUUGUCCGGAAUUACUGGGCGUAAAGAGCUCGUAGGUGGUUUGUCGCGUUGUUCGUGAAAUCUCACGGCUUAACUGUGAGCGUGCGGGCGAUACGGGCAGACUAGAGUACUGCAGGGGAGACUGGAAUUCCUGGUGUAGCGGUGGAAUGCGUAGAUACCAGGAGGAACACCGGUGGCGAAGGCGGCUUCCUGGCCCAGUACUGACGCUGAGGCACGAAAGCGUGGGGAGCGAACGGG